rnacentral:rRNA from 1 species
UACGGAGGAUGCAAGCGUUAUCCGGAAUGAUUGGGCGUAAAGCGUCCGCAGGUGGCUGUGUAAGUCUGCUGUUAAAGAGUGAGGCUCAACCUCAUAACAGCAGUGGAAACUACACAGCUAGAGUGCGUUCGGGGCAGAGGGAAUUCCUGGUGUAGCGGUGAAAUGCGUAGAGAUCAGGAAGAACACCGGUGGCGAAGGCGCUCUGCUAGGCCGCAACUGACACUGAGGGACGAAAGCUAGGGGAGCGAAUGGG